GCAUCGAUGAAGAACGCAGCGAAAUGCGAUAAGUAAUGUGAAUUGCAGAAUUCAGUGAAUCAUCGAAUCUUUGAACGCACAUUGCGCCCGCUAGUAUUCUGGCGGGCAUGCCUGUCCGAGCGUCAUUUCAACCAUCAAGCCCCCGGCUUGUGUUGGGGACCUGCGCGCUGCCGCGCAGGCCCUGAAAAGCAGUGGCGGGCUCGCCGACACACCGAGCGUAGUAGCAUCUGUUCUCGCUCAGGGCGUGCUGCGGGUCCCGGCCGUAAAGCCAGCGCUUUCUCGAAAGCACCCCAAAGGUUGACCUCGGAUCAGGUAGGACUACCCGCUGAACUUAAGCAUAUCAAUAAGCGGAGGAU
rnacentral:misc_RNA from 1 species